rnacentral:rRNA from 1 species
CCAGUAGUCAUAUGCUUGUCUCAAAGAUUAAGCCAUGCAUGUCUCAGUACAAGCCAAAUUAAGGUGAAACCGCGAAAGGCUCAUUAAAUCAGUUAUGGUUCCUUAGAUCGUACCCACAUUUACUUGGAUAACUGUGGUAAUUCUAGAGCUAAUACAUGCAAACAGAGCUCCGACCGGAGACGGAAGGAGCGCUUUUAUUAGAUCAAAACCAAUCGGUGGCGGGUCUCCCGUCACCGUACACCUUGGUGACUCUGAAUAACUUAUUGCUGAUCGCACGGUCUCGCACCGGCGACGCAUCUUUCAAAUGUCUGCCUUAUCAACUGUCGAUGGUAGGUUCUGCGCCUACCAUGGUUGUAACGGGUAACGGGGAAUCAGGGUUCGAUUCCGGAGAGGGAGCCUGAGAAACGGCUACCACAUCCAAGGAAGGCAGCAGGCGCGCAAAUUACCCACUCCCGGCACGGGGAGGUAGUGACGAAAAAUAACGAUACGGGACUCAUCCGAGGCCCCGUAAUCGGAAUGAGUACACUCUAAACCCUUUAACGAGGAUCAAUUGGAGGGCAAGUCUGGUGCCAGCAGCCGCGGUAAUUCCAGCUCCAAUAGCGUAUAUUAAAGUUGUUGCGGUUAAAAAGCUCGUAGUCGAAUUUGUGUCCCGCGCCGCCGGUUCAUCGCUCGCGGUGUCAACUGGCGUGUCCGCGGGACGUCCUGCCGGUGGGCUUAGCCCCCCGUGGGCGGCCCAAUCUCAAUCCCACCGCGGUGCUCUUCACUGAGUGUCGAGGUGGGCCGGCACGUUUACUUUGAACAAAUUAGAGUGCUUAAAGCAGGCUAAAACAUCGCCUGAAUACUGUGUGCAUGGAAUAAUGGAAUAGGACCUCGGUUCUAUUUUGUUGGUUUUCGGAACCCCGAGGUAAUGAUUAAUAGGAACGGAUGGGGGCAUUCGUAUUGCGAC